rnacentral:rRNA from 1 species
UACGUAGGGUCCGAGCGUUGUCCGGAAUUACUGGGCGUAAAGAGCUCGUAGGUGGUUUGUCGCGUUGUUCGUGAAAACUCACAGCUCAACUGUGGGCGUGCGGGCGAUACGGGCAGACUAGAGUACUGCAGGGGAGACUGGAAUUCCUGGUGUAGCGGUGGAAUGCGCAGAUAUCAGGGAGGGAACACCGGUGGCGAAGGCGGGUCUCUGGGGCAGUAAACUGACGC